rnacentral:lncRNA from 1 species
AUCAUCUCUUGAAGCUUCACUUCAACUUCACUACUUCUGUAGUCUCAUCUUGAGUAAAAGAGAACCCAGCCAACUAUGAAGUUCCUUGUCUUUGCCUUCAUCUUGGCUCUCAUGGUUUCCAUGAUUGGAGCUGAUUCAUCUGAAGAGAAAUUUUUGCGUAGAAUUGGAAGAUUCGGUGUAAGUGUUCUCUGAUAAUGCUGUGUAGUCCAAAUAAAUUGUGUUCUCUGAUUACUUAUUCUUCUAGAAGAACCAAUACUUAUUUCUCAAAUAUGUGUAGUAGUUGCAAAAGUGUGCUUUGUUUUCCUCUAUUUAUGAUACACAGGUAACAGUCACAAAUGUAUUGUGUCCUAACAACAUUUAAGUUGAAACUCAUAGUGCCAACCUGAAGAAACCAGUUACUCCCUGAGCCCUCAAGUAUCAUCUCCUAAGUAAUCACUUUGACCUAAAAAAUAGUUGAAAUUCUAAUUCUGUUAAUUAUAAUAUAUGCCUCAUGGAGCAUAAAGGCUGAUAAUUACACAUAAAAUAUGGUAAGUUUGCACCUUCUGAUUUUUUUUGACGGUGAUAAACUCAUUAAAUUAAACAGGUCAUGAUAAAUGAGAUAGCAAAUUUCAUUUAUUUAACAUUUUUCUUAAUGUAUGUAUCUUGAUGUCCCAGUAUGUUGACAUAUAAUGUCAAUGUGAUAGGGUUGCAAAAGAUCCCCUAACUAAUAUAGUGAAUACAUGGAUUAAAAUAACA